CAACCCAGCACUGGAGGCUAGAGGCUCUUUGGUGGGGCUAAUGGUGGACUCUAGGAGGGCUCAGGCCAAGGAGUACUUCCCAGAACUUCUGCUGCCUGUGUCCUUGUCCUCACGGUGAGCUACAGCCACCCCCUGCCUCUGCAGGAGACCCUCCAACACUAGCAGCUGGCCCAACGUGACAUCUUCAGGGCCGGGGGACCCAGGCACACACCUCCAGCAGCAUUGCGGUGGGGAGAUGCGUGGGCUUUAUCUGCCCCGGGGCCAGCAUCGCACCCAAUGCCAUCACAGGACCUGUAACUUGCUGUAAACAACAUCCCUGGCCAAAAAAAAAAAAAAAAAAAAAACCAACCCAGAAAACAAAACCAAAAACACGCCAUCUGGGCUGGAAGCACCAGUAUAUUUCAUCAGUCAAGGCUGCGUUAAUUUCUGCUUUGGGUACAGUGUGUUCUUGGAGGCACAUCUGCAAGCGAUCAUAAACUCUCUGGAAUGCUGGCAGAACAUCCAGACCUGCCGGCAGGCCGGUGACGACACCACUCUGGGAAAAAGUUCGGGAAGCAGGCCAGGUUCAGAGCAGGGAGGGAGAGAGGGGAGCGUGCUGGAGAGAGAGCCAGGGAACGUGGCUUCUCUUCCCUCUUCCUGUGCCCCCAUCACCCAAGGGGACCAAGGGGAAGGCAGGCUCUGAGCCACUCACAACCUAUCUUAACCCAAACCCUCCAUCGUGCCCAGCUCUGCAGGCAUGCUGAGUGAGGUUGAGGUCCUGAGAAGUUUCUUCUUGGUUAUCUCCUGGUUUUACCCUGAUGGCAGAAAGCCAACCAGAAGGAGGGAGCGAGCAGAGAGGGAGCAAAUGGACCCUGGGUUCCAAGCUGCCUGGAUAACCCCAGUCUCUUGCUUUUAGCAGAUGCCUGAUCUGGGAAGAGAGAGGGGAGUGAGAGGAAGAAGCUGCAAGGUCAGGAGAAGCCAUCUUUGCAUCCUGAGAUUCCUCUCCAUCAUCGUCACGGGGACCAGCUCAUAUCCCCGCCUCGCAGUCACAGGGCAUAAUCCAGUUACCCCGUUCCCCCACACGUUCUCUGUCUUUGGGAAGAAGGACCCUGAACCCCAAAGCUUAGUGUUCCCAAAAGAAAAAAAAAAGGAGGACAAGUACAACCCACAGAUCUUUGACAUCUCGUGAAAUUUUGUUUCUUCCAUCUGAUCAGGGGAAAGCAUGAGAGAACCAAUCUGGUUUCUGACCCCAACCUCUCCUGCCCUUUUCCCCGCCACACGGUGACCUGGCCCCCGAUGAUAUGCCCUGGCCACACCAUGCUGCUGCUGGAAUCAGAAGAUCUGUCAGCCAAAGACCAUGUUCCUUCCUGGUGGCUCUGACUGUGGGGAGGAGUCUGGUAUCGGGGUGUUUCUCAAUAGCCAUGGCUCACAGUGCCUGGAGAAGGGUGAGGAGGAGUGAGCAUGCAGGAUGGGACCCCCACAAAGAAAGGCUGUGUGCCCCUAACCACUGCAAGAGGCACAGGCCACGCCCCCCUCCAGCCACGCCCCGGGACUGACUGCCAGUCACGCCAUUUCCCCAAGAGUCUUAUGCACCCUAUACUCCAGCCUAGUGUGCAUCAAAAAGCCCAACAGUCCUUUCUAUUCCAGAGGAAUGAAAGUGUCCCUUCCUCAUCCAAUCUUUCAGCGGCUUUUGAGUGCCCUAGGUAAAAUGCAAAUCAUUUUGCUACUGGAAGACCUUGCAAUCUUGCCCGGCUCCUCCCUUCUAAACCCUGCCCCCUCCCCCCACACCCAGCCUACAGGCCCAGCUACACUGCACAUCACCCCAGGCGGCGUGGGCUGCCCCGACCAGGUGCUCUCAGAAAUCCAUUCUACCACCUUCUCCCAGGAGCCCCAUUCCUCCUUGAAUUCCUCCUAGAACUCUUUCUUGGCGCUCAGCACACACCACCUUCUUUUAUCAUAACUUUACAGUCAAACAUCUCUCCUACUAGACAUAAGCGCCCGGAGGGUAGGGGUGCUGCCUGUUCUGCAGUGUUAAGUACACAGAGCCUGAUGCAUCUGCUGGCUCGAAAAAUGAAUGACACUCCCAGAACAGAAGCAGGCCACAGAAAUAUGCAAGCCUCUGAACACUAUGCGGCCAAGGCAAAAAUAGGGGCAAGCGGUUCUGGGUGUGCUCAGUCAUAAUCCAACAGCACAUGAGGCCAAGCUGCGGGAAAUACUACCUAAUGGGAAACCUUACCCGAGCAAAUCGCAGGACCAACUCGAGUCAUCGCCCGAGUCUGUGGUUUCUGCAUGGACAUCCAGAGCUAGGAUGUUCUCUUAAGUAAGAACAAGGAGUGGCGAAGAGACAGAGGGUCACAGAUGCUCCCACAAGGGAUGGGGCAGCAAAGGAUGGGCAGGAGACUUCAGAGUGAUCCGGGGAUGCAGAGGGGCUGGGAUUCUUCCCCGGCUCCCUGCACUAUCUUCCACCCAAGAUUCAUGCUCCAGAAGAAGGGGCAGCUUUGCAAAGUGUUCCAGGGGUCACUUUUCUCACCCCAAAUCUCUUUCUCAACGCUCAGACCCUCCUGAUCCCCAAACCACCUCUGAGAAUGCAGGGUCUGGCCAGAUCAAUCUCAUUAGCGAGUGAGUUAGGUUAUUGUUAUAGUUAGUUAAUUUAAACAUAUUGUUAUCAUCAGGUAUAUCUCAUAAACAUUUGGUUAGUUAACGCAUUCAAAUCGAAAUCAAAACUUCAAUUAAGCUGAACAUUCGCUACUACCAUUUAGGGUCUUAAAAAAGAAAAAAGAAAGAGAGAGAGAGAA